UUAACAUUUGGACUAUCGGUCUACCAAGCAAUAUCACCCGCCCGGUGGAAGAUCUUCCCUCCGUGGU
rnacentral:pre_miRNA from 1 species